GGUGGGGGAGGAGGAGUAGGAGGUGGUGGCAGUUCGCCACAGCAGUUUUCGACUUUUGCCACCGGUUGGCUCUUUUGUGUAGUAACAAAAAGAUGCGUGGCCACCACAAUUUAGGUACAAUGGGCAACAUAAUGUACAGGAAAAGCGUCACCACGGCAACAACGAUGCUGCUGCAGCAACAAAGUACAAACACCGAACCGAUUGUGUUUAGUCAGACAGGCAACCAGUUGAUGACACGACAAGCGGUGCCCUCCAGGCCCAGAAUGUACGGCGAAGUUCCAGGCCUGCUGGUUACUGUCGAAUAAGAGCGUUUGCUCGACGCAAUGUCAAUUUUUCCUCUCCAAGUGUGCCUUCGAUCUGAAACAAUAUUCAGAAGCUGAGCACACUCCCAUCAACGAUGACCACUAGCGGGUACGGCAUCUGGACGAAGUGACCAAAGAGUUCGGCGAUAUAGGAUACUUUGCGCUGGAGUUGCUGUCAAGAAUCUGCCACAAAAGACUGAAUGCGGCACUGGCCAACGAUGCCAGCCGGAGGACGGUGAAGUUAGUGUGAAGUGUUUCAGCUUUCGAGCACCCCUUUCCGGAAGCAACAGUUUAAGUAUCUAGCCGCCAUGAGUCCUACCACUCCUAGUUUCGGUGUUUUACCUAUAAUGCAUAGCCCAGUUUAAAGCAGUGACCAAUCGAAUUUGAUAAUUACACCUUCGCCACAGCGGUUUUCGACUUUGGCCACCGGUUGUCAUCAGCCGCAACAAUCUCCCGGUGUGCAAAUCCAACAACAGCUGAAUACGAUACAGCAACAAUGACUCUCCUGUGCAGUAACAAAAAGAUGCGUGGCUACGACAAUUCAGGUACAAUGGGCAACAUAAUUAACAGGAAAAGCGACACCACGGAAACAACGAUGCUGCUGCAGCAACUAAGUACAAACACCAAACCGAUUGUGACCGGCGGUGCCCUGCAGGCCCAGAAUGUACGGCGAAGUUCCAGGCUUUUUAGCAACAACAGGCGAACACCAAGAGUCCUCAACUGAAUAAUAAAUUCGUGGCACCUCCGCCGCGUAAAUCGAAACAAAGAAUUUCAAAGAAUCUAGACAGUAUUACGGCCAGCUUGCUGUAAAAUGUCCACGAACGAAAGUCCAAUAAUGGUCAAGCAUGACUGAAACCUAGAACCGACAUUUUUAUUUAGAAAAAUAUCUUUAUUCAAACUUUUUGUUUUAAAAUUUCAUAAAAAAACUAAUAUAAAUAAUUUCAAUAUAGACAAUUUUUUUAAAACGAUACUAUUCAGCGUAGGUUGCAUGUUUUAGACCAAAAAGAUCUGGUAUCAGCUUUUCUAUUUCCUUCGCCAUUCGAUUUGAAUCGUAAUCUUAACCGGACAAAUCAAAACCCUUUCAACAAUGCGGAGCUUGUUCCCGCCAUUCCCUGAGACUAUUGCUCUAACUGAUCAACAGAUUACUGUGUACAGCUUGCGUUCCUAGUUUUUCCUUACUAAUUUGAUACAGAUCGCUUUACGCUCCCCCCUAACAGUGAAAAACGCAGCCAUGGCUGUGCGUACUUGAUUUGCUUGCUUAUCACCUGUCGAGGAGGUUUGACCAUCGAUGCGUCAACGUAGGCUAGCUGGGAUCUCCUGACCGCUGCUGUCUGCUCUACUUGGGCCAUCUGAUGUUGGCCGUCAGACGGUUCAGUUUUACCUCUGAAGAAGAAAAAAGUUUUUAUGAGUUCAUACCGGAAAUUAUAUGAAUGGAACUUACAGCGUAUAUCUCCCGCCAUGAUUCGCACACUUUUUCCUUUCGUUUUUGGCUUCGGAAGUCGUUUGCAGUGCUGCUCCCAAAGGAUGUCAGUGUCCUCCAACAGGUACGGGCUCACUUCUGAUAUUCCAAUCCGAUUCCAAUAUUGCAAUCCAGCAGCUCGUUGUUUUCCUGCAACAGUCGAAUGCACAGGGCACAAGCUGGGCACGAUUGCAGUAAAGGUUUUGAUGCCGGAGAAAACUUUGGUGCGAAGAUUUUUGGACUGCAUGCUGUGGCCGGGGGUCUCUUCUUCGGUCAGAAUCGACCGCUGAGUCUUACCGUUGUUGAAAAAUACACAAUACAUCACGACCUGGUUCAGCGGCAUCGGGCGAUAAUUCGGACAAACGGUUGGAUACUACCAACUCCGAAGCGUCCGGCAAUGGUUUCAGGUGGUUUCAGUUUAACUUUCUGCUUCAGUAGGGAGGGCGUUGAACAGGAGGAACUGCUGCUGCUGGAGACAGUGCUCGGAGAUCGGGCUUCACGGCUUUUGCCCGAGGAGCUAGGAGAUUAUUUUUCCGAUAUGGCAUUACGGGGUAGAAAAAGAGCCACUGUUGUUUGUUGUAAAACAAAAACAAAAAAGAUUUUAAUCAAGUUGAUGAUGACGUCAUAUAAAACACCACUACCAAUGCACGAUUGUUUCGUUAUACUUUUCAUUGAUUUUCUUUGACACCAAACGUAAACAAUGUAAUAGGCUGUCAAAAUUUUGGCUUCCGUGCCCACUUCUUCACCGCGCCUACUUUUUGUCAAAGUUGUUCCACCCUAGA